rnacentral:rRNA from 1 species
GAUGAACGCUAGCGGCAGGCUUAAUACAUGCAAGGCGAGGGGGCAGCAAUGUCACCGUCGUACGGGUGCGUAACGCGUAUGCAACCUACCUAUCACUGGGGGAUAGCCCGGGGGAAACCCGGAUUAAUACCGCAUAACACAGGGGUCCCGCAUGGGUACUAUUUGUUAAAGAUUUAUCGGUGGUAGAUGGGCAUGCGUUC